GAUUCUGGCUCAGAUUGAACGCUGGCGGCGUGCUUAACACAUGCAAGUCGAACGCGAAAGGGACUUCGGUCCUGAGUAAAGUGGCGCACGGGUGAGUAACGCGUGGAUAAUCUGCCCUUAUGAUCGGGAUAACAGUUGGAAACGGCUGCUAAUACCGGAUACGCUCAAAAUGAACUUUUUUGAGGAAAGAUGGCCUCUGCUUGCAUGCUAUCACGUAAGGAUGAGUCCGCGUCCCAUUAGCUUGUUGGCGGGGUAACGGCCCACCAAGGCAACGAUGGGUAGCCGAUUUGAGAGGAUGAUCGGCCACACUGGAACUGAAACACGGUCCAGACUCCUACGGGAGGCAGCAGUGGGGAAUAUUGCGCAAUGGGCGAAAGCCUGACGGAGCCGACGCCGCGUGAACGAAGAAGGCCGUGAGGUUGUAAAGUUCUUUUCGGGAGGGGGAACAACCGUGGCAGGGAAUGGCCGCGGGAUGACGUGAAUCCCGGAAUAAGCCCCGGCUAACUACGUGCCAGCAGCCGC
rnacentral:rRNA from 1 species